rnacentral:rRNA from 1 species
CGAUGUCCGAAUGGGGAAACCCAGUGUGUUCCGACACACUAUCGUUAACUGAAUACAUAGGUUAACGAGGCGAACCGGGGGAACUGAAACAUCUAAGUACCCCGAGGAAAAGAAAUCAACCGAGAUUCCCCCAGUAGCGGCGAGCGAACGGGGAGCAGCCCGGAGUCUGAAUCAGCUUGUGUGUUAGUGGAACGGUCUGGAAAGUCCGACGGUACAGGGUGAUAGUCCCGUACACGAAAAUACACUUGCUGUGAACUCGAAGAGUAGGGCGGGACACGUGGUAUCCUGUCUGAAUAUGGGGGGACCAUCCUCCAAGGCUAAAUACUCCUGACUGACCGAUAGUGAACCAGUACCGUGAGGGAAAGGCGAAAAGAACCCCGGCGAGGGGAGUGAAAAAGAACCUGAAACCGUGUACGUACAAGCAGUGGGAGC